rnacentral:rRNA from 1 species
UCGAGAAUCUUUCGCAAUGGGGGAAACCCUGACGAAGCGACGCCGCGUGCGGGAAGAAGGCCUUCGGGUUGUAAACCGCUUUGAGCAGGGGCGAAGGCCGGGGCGUGAAUAGCGCCUUCGGUUUGACGGUACCUGCAGAACAAGCCACGGCUAACUCUGUGCCAGCAGCCGCGGUAAGACAGCGGUGGCAAGCGUUGUUCGGAUUUACUGGGCGUAAAGGGGGUCUAGGUGGUUCGUUAUGUCUGUCGUGAAAUCCCGGAGCUUAACUCCGGAACUGCGGGAGAAACUGGCGAACUUGAGCGCGUGAUACGUAAGCGGAAUACGGGGUGUAGCGGUGAAAUGCGUAGAUAUCCAGUAGAACACCUGCGGCGAAAGCGGCUUACGAGCGCGUUGCUGACACUGAAGCCCGAAAGCGUGGGGAUCAAACA